UACAGAGGUCUCAAGCGUUGUUCGGAUUCAUUGGGCGUAAAGGGUGCGUAGGCGGCGCGGUAAGUCGGGUGUGAAAUCUUGGAGCUUAACUCCGAAACUGCAUUCGAUACUGCCGUGCUUGAGGACUGGAGAGGAGACUGGAAUUUACGGUGUAGCGGUGAAAUGCGUAGAUAUCAGGAGGAACACCGGUGGUGUAGACGGCUCUCUGGACCGUAACUGACGCUGAGACACGAAAGCGUGGGUAGCAAACAGG
rnacentral:rRNA from 1 species